GACGAACGCUGGCGGCGCGCUUAACACAUGCAAGUCGAGCGAGAACCAGGACUUCGGUCCUGGGGACAGCGGCGAACGGGUGAGUAACACGUGGAUAACCUGCCCUCGGCACCGGGAUAGCCCGAGGAAACUCGGAUUAAUACCGGAUAGCCCUUCCGACUCUCGAGUCGGUCCGAAAAGGUAGCUUCGGCCUCUGGCCGAGGAUGGGUCCGCGGCGGAUUAGCUUGUUGGUGGGGUAACGGCCUACCAAGGCANCGAUCCGUAGCUGGUCUGAGAGGACGAUCAGCCACACUGGGACUGAGACACGGCCCAGACUCCUACGGGAGGCAGCAGUGGGGAAUCUUGCGCAAUGGGCGAAAGCCUGACGCAGCGACGCCGCGUGAGGGAAGAAGGCCUGGUGUAAC
rnacentral:rRNA from 1 species